AUGUAUUACUGUAUUUCCUUCAGGAGCACUCCCUGAUACUGUUCUACAAGAAAGAGCUGCCGAAGUACACGCAAGCUAAGGCGCCCUUCCUCAAGACAGCCACCGCCUUCAGAGACGACAGUAGCAAGAAGUUUGCAGCAGUCGACUGUGAGGAGGUUACAGACCUGUGUUUGCGCGUGGGAAUCAUCCCAGAAUCCCUCCCCACCAUCAAGUUCUACGUUAAUGGCAAAUUCUCCACCAACUACAAAGAUCCCGUCACAAACGUCGACCUUUACAACUUCAUGAACGAGGCCGGAGCUGUGCCUGUAAAAACAGACGUAAAAACAGAGUUAUAACAGCGGCUUUCUUCAUAGAGGGGAGAAUUGAAUGUAGGCAGCAAAUUCCCUAUCUAGCAAACUCCAUGACCUGCUUUGUCGGGUUGGUAUGUCACCUGAGGUAGAAACAGACUCUAAUUCUAACAAUAUUUGUAGUUCACCUUUUUCCAGGGGGUAACCUAUAUCUGUUGUUUUUAAAGACUGGAUACUUAGGGAUAUCAACUGAAGUCAAUGGGUGUUGGUUUCAAACUGCAAUAUUUUAAAAGUACAAUUAUGUAUUGCAGCUUGAAACCACUGUCCCCAUGCAUGCACUUGAUAUCCCUAAAAUCCUUGCUUUUUUGAAACAAAGGAUAAAGGUGAACUUGUGUUCACAAGUGGGAGAAAAAAAGUAGGUCCAAGGUUUGAACUUCGCAUGUGCGAGAUCUAAGAUGGAGACCCCUAACUUGUAAGUAGUUCUAGUCUAGACAUUAUUUGCUUACGUCUCAACUUGCUUAUGCCUUCAAUUUUGACAUGUUACCCACAAUACAUCUUGCUGUCCAUGCGCAGUCCAACCCUUGAACUAGCUUAUUGUAAGCAGCAAAUUUGCUAUUCAGUAAACUCUGUGGACAGCUUUGCCUUCAAAUGUCUACUAGCUAUUGAACGGUUUACCACAACCUUAUACUGGAUGGUUGUUGUUGCACACAGGACACAAAGUUGGAAUGUAGUUUUGGGAAGUGUACGUGCAACCUAGGUAUUGCUGGUAGUUAGUGGGAUAGCCACUAUUGGUUUGUAAACAUUAUAAUUAUGAUUCUGUUUUACAAGCAAAGUUUCCCAUAUUGUUUGUUAGUUGAAGGUCGAAAAAGGAAUUCUUUGAAAAUCGUUGCAAUAUGACAAGUUUGCAGGAAGACAUGCUAGCUAUAGGUUGGCUGAAAAAAACAAAAAUGAAUUCAAAAGGGGGGCUUUAGUUAGCACAUAGUAAUUAACUAACAGGGAAAUGUCAAAGCUAUUUAAUAUGUGCAUUUGUAAUGAGGCUUAAUUCGGGUGAGUCUUUUUGUACAAAAUUGUCUACUAGGUAACCCAGCCAUUGGGAAUGGUUAAGUGUGAAUGGAUGGAUAGAAAAGUUUGUGCUGUCAAACUAAGCCUUCUCCAGAUCACGCCUCCCUAGAUUUCUAACCAUUUGUAGCCAAAUCUAUAUAUUUGUAGAUACUCGAAUGUAAGUUCAUCUAUGACGGUAAUCAACAUUAUGGUACAAUUUUAAACUUUAUAACCGUACACAGAAUUAAAGUGCAUACCAACAAGCUUUUGAUCAGUCCUCUGAGCAUUUUCAAGUUGUCUAAAAGCCUAUGUCACACAUCCUAACUCAGCAAUGGUUCAAAGGUGCUUGGAAGUUGGUAUCGGCCCCCGUCUCGGUUGAGGAAAGGUUGAUGGGCUCAGAGGACUGAUUGAAAGCUUCUUGGCAAGUGCUUUAAUUUUGUUGUGGUUGUUAAGUUUAAAAUUGUAUCAUAAUAUUUGUAGAUAGUGUGAAUGGGUGCAGCAGUGUUUAAGUGAAGGACACAGUAUUUUUUUUUCCGUGCAAAUCCCGGCAAAAAUUCUCUUCUUUACUUCUCAACUUCUGUGCACACAAUGAGCUCUUGAUCAAGAUAUCUUUAAUUUUACAUUUGAUCUUCCAACUAAGUGUGCUGGAGAUGAUUCUUCAAGAAAGUUUAUAGAAAGCUAGUGUCUGAUUUGUAGAUAACCAUAGCUUAAAGUCUAAGUCAUAGUCUUAUUUCAUCUGUACCUCUGCAUCAAUGUUGAUUCAAUUCAGAGAGAAAUACUUAGUUUGUCUUGAUGUCAAUUCCAGCUCUAUCUAGUGGCAUUUGAUUCUUGUGAAUCAUAAUUAUUGUCUAUUGAUCAUUGAUUAUGAAGAUGGUUGAUUAUCUAUAUAUCAUCAAUUAUUUUGAUGAUAAUUAUUGAAUAUCUAUGCAUGGGAAAUUUGUUCAACCAUGGAUUAUGAUAAUAUUAGUACAUACCAGUACUACUAAAUAUUUUCGGUUAUGUUACAAAAAAUAUAUGAUUGUGAGAAGUUAGUAUACAAAAGUAGCUGUCGACAUUCAUAAUUAUCAUAUCGAUUCCAUACUUUCAAUAAUUUGGUGCAAUGUAAGAUGGUUAUGUUGUUAUAACGCUAGUUCACCUUAAUCCAUGAGGAAACCUAAAUCUGUUGCUUUUAAUACGGGGUAUUAUGGGAUAUCAAGUGGGCGGACAGUGAUUUCAAUUUUGAAUUAUUAUAUAAGAACUGUAAUUUGAAACCACCGUCCGUCGACUUGACAACCCUAAACACCCAGUUUUAAAACAACGGAUAUAGGUUACCCCACGGAUAAUGGUGAAUUAGCGUUAAUAGUUAAGAAUGAAAAAACUAUGUAGUUUUCUAUAUGUAUGAUGAGGAUAUUAAGGUGCUUACUGGAAAUAAGGUAUGAUUAACAUAUACAAUGUAUGGUGUAAAUAUAUGACCAGUGAUGUUAGGUUACGUAAACAAAAUUUUUCCUUCAAGGUGGUAUUUUUGUCAAAUUUGCUACCAUAGAAAUCAGUUUUUUGUUUUUCUUUUUACAUUUAGAACUGUUACAUUCCAUUCUUUCAUUUUAUUGGUCACAAAGUUAUCUUCAAGAAGUUGUAAGGAUCUGGUUCAUUCAGUUUUUGUAAAUUUAGUUAUCUCUUCUACAUGUAGUACUGCACUUCUUAUAAUGGGAGGUGAACCAUUAAAAAGUGCAAUAAUUGUGUAAGAAAAGAGUACUAAAUGUUUAAAACUGAAUGGAAGACACAGAAUCAUCUAAUCUCUAAGUAGAUCCUACGGUAGCAUAAGAUAGUAUCAAAAGCUGACAGUGAAGCUGGCUUAGGAGUGUUUUUUACUCUCCAAGCAGAGGUCGAGUCGCGGAGAUAUACUAGUGGUCGAAAAAAAUACAGAGCCGCUCCUCCUAUUUUUUUCGACUACUAGUAUAUCUCCGCGACUCAACCUCUGCUUGGAGAGAAGUGUUUUUUGCUACAUCGCAAAUUGACACCUCUUGGCUCACUACACCCCUUGGCCAGUUUGGUACUAUCUUAUGCCAUAGUAGGAUCUACUUGGAGAUUAAGAAUCAUACUCUUUCUUCCAUCUGCUUGGAGGUAAUCCUAGAUAGUCGACAGUGAGAAAUGAAAAAUUUGUUUGCUUUCAAAAAAUUCUAUUUUCAAAAGGAAUACGAAAUGUAAACCUUUGAAAUGACACAAGUGGAAAUACGUGGGGGAAAUGACCAUAAAGUUUUUCUUUAAGUUUUACAAAAUCGUCACAAAAAACUGACUUGUCAGGUCUGAGCCUUGCUGUAUGUUUGGUGUACAGGUUUUGCAGAUACUUUUGAUAUCAGUAACUGUCCAUCUUCUUAAUUAAUAAGCAAACUGGCAAUAAACAGGACAUGUUUGUCUCGA